CUGCAGCCAAUUAGGCCAAGCAAACUGGAAGCCUUUUAUGGGUGGGGUGGUUUGCUGUGUAGUGGCUGCCUAAAGUGGCCUUCUCAGUAGUGGAUGCAGCCUGUUGUUUGUGUGUGUGGUCCCAAAGAAUCUUAGAGACACCU
ensembl:snoRNA SNORA70 Small nucleolar RNA SNORA70